GACGAACGCUGGCGGCGUGCUUAACACAUGCAAGUCGAACGCUGAAGCUCAGCUUGCUGGGUGGAUGAGUGGCGAACGGGUGAGUAACACGUGAGUAACCUGCCCUCUUCUUUGGGAUAACACCCGGAAACGGGUGCUAAUACUGGAUAUUCACUGAUUCUCGCAUGGGGGUUGGUGGAAAGGUUUUUUCUGGUGGGGGAUGGGCUCGCGGCCUAUCAGCUUGUUGGUGGGGUGAUGGCCUACCAAGGCUUUGACGGGUAGCCGGCCUGAGAGGGUGACCGGUCACAUUGGGACUGAGAUACGGCCCAGACUCCUACGGGAGGCAGCAGUGGGGAAUAUUGCACAAUGGGCGAAAGCCUGAUGCAGCGACGCCGCGUGAGGGAUGGAGGCCUUCGGGUUGUAAACCUCUUUCGCUCAUGGUCAAGCCGCAGCUUGGGGUUGUGGUGAGGGUAGUGGGUAAAGAAGCGCCGGCUAACUACGUG
rnacentral:rRNA from 1 species